GACAGAGGAGCCAAGCGUUGUCCGGACUGACUGGGCGUAAAGCGCACGCAGGCGGCGCUGCGCGUGGGGUGUGAAAGCUCUUGGCUUAACUGAGAGAGGCCAUCCCAUACGGCAGUGCUCGAGCGGUGCAGAGGUCCGCGGAAUUGCCGGUGUAGUGGUGAAAUGCGUAGAGAUCGGCAGGAACAGCCCAGGGGGAAACCAGCGGACUGGGCAUCAGCUGACGCUCAGGUGCGACAGCGUGGGGAGCGAACGGG
rnacentral:rRNA from 1 species